UUGGAUCGUUGCUUCGUGAGAGCAGAUCGCUGAUCAAGAAGGGAGGUCUUAGCCCUAGCCUCGACCUUUCCUCUUCGACGCCGGCUUGGAUCUACUGUCUUGUGUUCUAGCUUCCAUUUCGCACACGUAGGUUGUGCUGUUCUGGUGGUGGACAGCAGCUCGAUCCGGGCAGAGAGGAGGCUCUGUUCCUUUUGAUUGAGUGCUGUGGAUUAGUAUGCAUGGUUGUGAGCUAGAGGUACUAUCUUGUGGAUGUGAUCUUAGGUUCCAACAGCAGCUACCCUAACCGGCAGCUACACCUUUGGUUGUGAUCUAUUGGUGAUCACCUUGGAUUCGAGGAGUCUGAUUUGAG